rnacentral:lncRNA from 1 species
UGGGUAAAACAAUGAAAAGUAGUUGUGUAAAAAAAAAAGGCGAAAACUUCAAAUACCACUCUUGUGAUAUCGUAUUUUUUCACUUUAAUACUCUUUGGUUUAAAGUGUAUCAAUUUAGUACUCUGUGGUUUCUUACUUUCUUACUCUAGUAUCCUGUGGUUUAAAGUGCAUCAAUCUAGUACGCUGUGGUUUUAUUUUUUUCUUUUUGUCGGCUCCUCUGUUAAUAUUUUGUUAAAUUAUAUACAAAAAAUUUUAGAUAUCCUAUCUAGGUUUANCUCCUCUGUUAAUAUUUUGUUAAAUUAUAUACAAAAAAUUUUAGAUAUCCUAUCUAGGUUUAUUGAAUAUUUACUUUAGUAUUCUUUAGUUUUAACUUUGUCACUGAUUUUUUUUUCUUCCGUUAAUAUUUCGUUAAAUUAUAUACAAAAAACUUCAGAUACCCUACCUAGGUUUAUCCAAUAUUAACUUUAGUAUCCUUUAAUUUUAACUUUGUCACUAAUUUAACAAAAGAAAUUAGUGAAAUGAAUAAUAAAAAGAGAAAAAUGAAACCAAAGGGUACUAAUUUGAUACACUUUAAACCACAAAGUCUAAAGUGAGAAAGUGCGAAACCACAUAGGCUAACUUGAUACACUUUAAACCACAUGGUACUAAAAUGAGAAAGUAUAAAACUAUAAGGGGGUAUU